rnacentral:rRNA from 1 species
GGUUGAUCCUGCCGGAGACUACCGCUAUCGGAGUCCGAUUUAGCCAUGCUAGUCCACCGAGUCUUUGACUUGGGGCAUAUAGCUGAGUAACACGUGGCUAACCUGCCCUGUGGAUGGGUAUAACCUCGCUAACGUGAGGCUAAUACCCAAUAUCAGAUGAGGAUGGAAGUAAUCUUCAUCUGUGAAACGUUCUGACGCCACAGGAUGGGGCCGCGGCUGAUUAGGUUGUUGGUGAGGUAACGGCUCACCAAGCCGAUAAUCAGUAGCAGGGGUGAGAGCCCGAGCUGUCAGUCGGCAUCUGAGACAAGAUGCCGGACCCUACGGGGUGCAGCAGGCACGAAACCUUCACAAUGCACGCAGGUGCGAUGGGGGGACUCCGAGUGCAGUCUUCCAAAACGGAAGGCCGCUUUUCUGCACUUUAAGCAGGUGCCGAAACAAGGGGUGGGCAAGACGGCUGCCAGCCGCCGCGGUAAUAGCCGCACCCCGAGUGGUAGUCAUUGUUAUUGGGCUUAAAGUGUUCGUAGCCGGACACACAAGUCUGCUGUGAAAUCCAUGCGCUUAACGUAUGGACAUGCAGCGGAUACUGUGUGUCUAGGAACCGGACGGCGUCGAGGCUAUUCCCGGGGUAGGGGUGAAAUCCUAAAAUCCUGGGAGGAGCACCUGUGGCGAAAGCGCUCGACGAGUACGGAUUCGACGGUGAGGAACGAAAGCCAGUGGAGCAAAGCGGAUUAGAUACCCGCGUAGUACUGGCUGUAAACAUUGUGCGUUUGAUGUCGGACAACCUCCGAGGUUGUCCGGUGCCGAAGUGAAAACGUUAAACGCACCGCCUGGGGAGUACGGUCGCAAGGCUGAAACUUAAAGGAAUUGACGGGGGAGCACCACAACCGGUGGAGGCUGCGGUUUAAUUAGAUCAAACGCAGAGCACUCUACCAGAGCCGACAGCAGAAUGAAGGUCAGCUUGAAGAGCUUACCUAACGCGCUGAGAGGAGCUGCAUGGCCGCCGUCAGCUCGUGCCGUGAGGUGUCCGGUUAAGUCCGGUAACGAGCGAGACCCGCAUCACAUGUUGCCAUGGAUCCCUUCGGGGAUUCGGCACUCGUGUGAGACCGCUGGCGAUAAGCCAGACGAAGGUGCGGGCCACGGUAGGUCAGUAUGGCCCGAAUGCUCUGGGAUACACGCGGCC